GCAAACCAGGUAUAUUUGUGAUCGGAAGCUGUAGGUUUAGUAAUCCAUUUAAAUGGGGUGCUUAAAAGUCAUCUAUAGGCUCAAGGGAUGACCAGAUGUUGUGUAUAAAAUAACUUAUGAUUGCUCUCUUCUGUUUAUUUAAUUUCUAUAUUAAAGAUGUUUUAGUUCCUCUAUUUUUGCCUGCAUAUUGUUCAUGUACUUUUUUCAUCACCACGAUUUGGUAAUGCUAUAAAUUAU
rnacentral:misc_RNA from 1 species